AUGCGGCGUUCAGCAAGCUCCCGACGGCCUACCGAAACAACCUUGACAAUCACGCCAAAUUUCUGAAAAGUACAAUGAUGUACCACAUUCUGAACGGCAUCCACGGUCCCCAUUCCCUGCAUCAGAACGACAUGCUCACCUCCCUAGAGGGAAACCGCAUCCACGUCUCCAUGCAGAACGGUCACGUGCACCAGUUCAACAAGGUCAGCAUCAUGAACGUGGUUCAUGCCACCAACGGCGUCAUCUACGUCCUGAACGGCGUCCUUCACCUUCCAAGCAGCCCUAUUGUAUGAAGCAGA